rnacentral:rRNA from 1 species
GUGCGAGCGUUAAUCGGAAUUACUGGGCGUAAAGCGAGCGCAGACGGUUAAUUAAGUCAGAUGUGAAAUCCCCGAGCUCAACUUGGGACGUGCAUUUGAAACUGGUUAACUAGAGUGUGUCAGAGGGAGGUAGAAUUCCACGUGUAGCAGUGAAAUGCGUAGAGAUGUGGAGGAAUACCGAUGGCGAAGGCAGCCUCCUGGGAUAACACUGACGUUCAUGCUCGAAAGCGUGGGUAGCAAACAGGAUUAGAUACCCUGGUAGUCCACACCCUAAACGAUGACAAUUAGCUGUUGGGACACUAGAUGUUUUAGUAGCGAAGCUAACGCGUGAAAUUGUCCGCCUGGGGAGUACGGUCGCAAGAUUAAAACUCAAAGGAAUUGACGGGGACCCGCACAAGCGGUGGAUGAUGUGGAUUAAUUCGAUGCAACGCGAAGAACCUUACCUGGUCUUGACAUGUACGGAAUCUCUUAGAGAUAGGAGAGUGCCUUCGGGAGCCGUAACACAGGUGCUGCAUGGCUGUCGUCAGCUCGUGUCGUGAGAUGUUGGGUUAAGUCCCGCAACGAGCGCAACCCUUGUCAUUAGUUGCCAUCAUUAAGUUGGGCACUCUAAUGAGACUGCCGGUGACAAACCGGAGGAAGGUGGGGAUGACGUCAAGUCCUCAUGGCCCUUAUGACCAGGGCUUCACACGUCAUACAAUGGUCGGUACAGAGGGUAGCGAAGCCGCGAGGUGAAGCCAAUCUCAGAAAGCCGAUCGUAGUCCGGAUUGCACUCUGCAACUCGAGUGCAUGAAGUCGGAAUCGCUAGUAAUCGCAGGUCAGCAUACUGCGGUGAAUACGUUCCCGGGUCUUGUACACACCGCCCGUCACACCAUGGGAGUGGGGGAUACCAGAAUUGGGUAGACUAACCGCAAGGAGGUCGCUUAACACGGUAUGCUUCAUGACUGGGGUGAAGUCGU